ACAAGCGGUGGAGCAUGUGGUUUAAUUCGAUGCAACGCGAAGAACCUUACCUGGGCUUGACAUCCCGGGAAUCCCUUGGAAACAAGGAGUGCCUUCGGGGAACCUGGAGACAGGUGCUGCAUGGCUGUCGUCAGCUCGUGUCGUGAGAUGUAGGGUUAAGUCCCGCAACGAGCGCAACCCUUGUCUUUAAUUGCCAUCAUUGAGUUGGGCACUUUAAAGAGACUGCCGGUGUUAAACCGGAGGAAGGCGGGGAUGACGUCAAGUCCUCAUGGCCCUUACAUCCCGGGCUACACACGUGCUACAAUGGCAGGUACAGAGGGCUGCGAACCCGCGAGGGGGAGCGAGUCCCAAAAAGCCGCUCUCAGUUCGGAUUGCAGGCUGCAACUCGCCUGCAUGAAGCCGGAAUCGCUAGUAAUCGCGGGUCAGCAGACCGCGGUGAAUACGUUCCCGGGUUUU
rnacentral:rRNA from 1 species